rnacentral:lncRNA from 1 species
AGGGUUGCCUCAAGUCAGAUGACAGCCAGUAGGAACUUCUUGCGCUUGAUCUUGCCUUCAGUGAACCUCUCCACUGCCAUGCUAUCUACCAACCUGAUCCAAAGAUCCAUCAUCUUUGAUUUCUCUUUAUUUAUGGUCUGAAGGAGGUCAUCAUUGGCCUUUCAAAAUGAAGCAAGUUUACUCUAAAGAUCAACAACUAUUAACCUCCCUUUAUUAAUCAUCUGGUCGAGAUUA